rnacentral:rRNA from 1 species
CAGCAGCCGCGGGAAUACGAAGGGUGCAAGCGUUAAUCGGAAUUACUGGGCGUAAAGCGUGCGUAGGCGGUUUGUUAAGUCUGUUGUGAAAUCCCCGGGCCCAACCUGGGAAUGGCAAUGGAUACUGGCAAGCUAGAGUGUGUCAGAGGAUGGUGGAAUUCCCGGUGUAGCGGUGAAAUGCGUAGAGAUCGGGAGGAACAUCAGUGGCGAAGGCGGCCAUCUGGGACAACACUGACGCUGAGGCACGAAAGCGUGGGGAGCAAACAGGAUUAGAUACCCCUGUAGUCCCUGUCUCUUAUAC